AGUGGAUGGGGAGCAACCUAUGUUGUGCGUGUGUAAAGGUAGUGCCAAGAAAAGCGAUGAUCAUGUUGAAAAUCAAUUCCCGGUACCCGAAACCGACACAGGUGGGCAAGUAGAGAAUACUAAGGGGCGCGAGGUAACUCUCUCCAAGGAACUCGGCAAAAUGACCCCGUAACUUAGGGAGAAGGGGUGCCACCGAGAGGUGGUCGCAGUGAAGAGGCCCAGGCGACUGUUUAGCAAAAACAUAGGUCUCUGCAAACUCGAAAGAGGAGGUAUAGGGGCUGACGCCUGCCCAGUGCCGGAAGGUUAAAGAAGUUGGUCAGUUUUAGGAUGAAGCUAGCGACUGAAGCCCCGGUGAACGGCGGCCGUAACUAUAACGGUCCUAAGGUAGCGAAAUUCCUUGUCGGGUAAGUUCCGACCCGCACGAAAGGCGUAACGAUCUGGGCGCUGUCUCGGAGAGAGGCUCGGCGAAAUAGGAUUGUCUGUGAAGAUACGGACUACCUGCAUUUGGACAGAAAGACCCUAUGAAGCUUUACUAUAGCUUGGAAUUGUGUUCGGGCUUCCUGUGCGCAGGAUAGGUGGGAGGCGUAGAAGGUAUUCUUGUGGGGAUACUGGAGCCAGCGGUGAGAUACCACUCUCAGGAGGCUAGAAUUCUAACUUAAUUAAGGACAGUUUCAGGUGGGUAGUUUGACUGGGGCGGUCGCCUCCAAAAAGGUAACGGAGGCGUACAAAGGUUCCCUCAGACUGGUUGGAAAUCAGUCGAAGAGUGCAAAGGCAGAAGGGAGCUUGACUGCGAGAAGUACAGUUCGAGCAGGGUGGAAACACGGUCUUAGUGAUCCGACGGUGCUGUGUGGAAGGGCCGUCGCUCAACGGAUAAAAGUUACUCUAGGAUAACAGGCUGAUCUCCCCCAAGAGUUCACAUCGACGGGGAGGUUUGGCACCUCGAUGUCGGCUCAUCGCAACCUGGGGCGGAAGUACGUCCCAAGGGUUGGGCUGUUCGCCCAUUAAAGCGGUACGUGAGCUGGGUUCAGAACGUCGUGAGACAGUUCGGUCCAUAUCCGAUGUAGGCGUGAGAAUACUGAGAGGAGCCUUCCUUAGUACGAGAGGACCGGGAAGGACGCACCGCUGGUGUACCUGUUAUGAUGCCAAUUGUAAACGCAGGGUAGCCAAGUGCGGAGAGGAUAACCGCUGAAAGCAUCUAAGUGGGAAGCCCACCUCAAGAUGAGUAUUCUGGUGUAAGGUCACGGGAAGACGACCCGUAAAUAGGCACGAGGUGGAAGUGCAGAGAUGUAUGAAGCCGAAGUGUACUAAUAGACCGUCGGCUUGACC
rnacentral:rRNA from 1 species